ensembl:lncRNA
AUGAAGAUGAGCUUGCCAUGCGUUCUCCUUCUCAUUCAGCUCAUUGAAGCCUGUGCGGAGUUGAUCUUUCGUCAGCAGACGGACGGCCAGUCCCUGGAGCUCUCCUGCUCCCCUCAGCUGCAGCGCGGCGCUCCCACCGGCCUCCACCUGUACCACCGCGGCGCCCGCAGCCAGACCACCCUGCUGUCCAUGGCCGAGGGCGGCGGCGGCCCGAGGCUCAACGCGGAACACGUGGGCCGCCUCAGGCUCGCCGGAGGCCUGGACAGCCGGCAGGUCAACGUGACCGUGGCCCUUUUGCAGCCCAGUGACACGGGCCUCUACGUGUGGGAGCUGAGCUACGGACGGGGGAACCGCUCUGAGCAGAUGGUCCUCGGUGCUCCGACGGUGUUCUUGUUGGUUGAAGGCGCAGGAGGGUCCUGCCGGUGCUCAGCCAGUUACCCUCUUCUGCUCCUGAUCAUCUUUACCGUAGCGGGGCUUCUUCUGCUCACACUCGGCCUGCUGGCCUUGGAGAAAUGUGUGAAGUCCCGGCAUCAUCACAGACCACAACCCCCUGUUCCCAUCUACGAGGAAAUGACCUGCAAGCAGCGCAGUCCGGUGGCCCCCAAAAAUAACCCUGAGGCCCCCUCACACCUGGAGGAAGUAAACUUCCCCGCGUACGCCAACACGGACAUCCGGCAGCCACAGGACAACUACUACGCAUGUCCCAGGCAGCUCGCCCUCAGGGCCUGAGGUGACUCGGUGGAGCAGAUGUCAACAGGAUGUGACAUCAGCGCCUCUGCAAACACACGAUGAGAUGCUCAGGAUAUAAAUAUUUAUAUAUAUAUAUAUAUAUCUAAAAUGGGUUUAGUGAUGGAAAAAAACACCCAAUUGCCCAUCUUUAACAGCCAAGAAAAAAAUGCUAUUUUAUUAAUAUUUCAAAGAAGCUCCAUAGUUCAUGAAAACAUUUGUUUCGGUGCAUGUCAUUUAACAAUCACAUUCUAUGAGGAGAAAGAGAUAUACAGAGAGAAAAAAAACAAAAAACAUUACAAGCCACUGACUUUUCAUUAAAUCUCAGUACAGACAUUUUUACUCAAUAUUCCAAAUAAAAAAGGCAAAAAAAUGAAGAGGAAAAAAAAGCAGCCCUAGUCCAACACCCACCGCCCUCCCAAAAAAACCCUUAACUCAGAAAACAAACCCUUGAGGGUGACAGGCUAGAAUCCCACAGUGCUAACGAGUGAGACGCUCAUUGGUUUUAGGAAUACACAGCAUGGCGAUGUGGCGCUAUAGGUCAAUCUGAAUGGGGAGAAGGAAGCUGGAGGCAGAGAGCUUUACAUGAAUCAACUCGCCCCUGCGCGCCCUUCACAAUAAAAUAAAAAACACAUUGGAUCCCAAAAACCCAGCAACAGAUGAGCCACUUAGAAGUAGGCCAUAAAACCCCCCCCCCCCCCCCCGAAAAAAAACACUUGUGCAUAGUUUCAUGAUCCUUUACAACCAGCUCAUGUUUUAUAAACAUCCUCCAAAAUGGGAAAAAUGUUCCACAAAAGUCUGAUUUCUAUAUUAAUAAUACCCGCUGUGGGAGAAUGAGAGAAAGAGGAAAGAAAGAGUAAUGCACAAAGUUCCUGAUUUAGUCAGGACAGGACCUCAUUUAGAAAACACAAUAAAGAUUCCAACAUACAGCAUUUUGUUAUUCAGUCUUUUUUUUGACAAUCAAAAUCAUUGACCUUUUUUGUUUUUAAAUGUAAAGCAAUUUUAAUAUAUAGAUUUUUUUUUAUAUAAAGCACUCCAUUUUCAUUUAAAGUCCAUUAUUUGGUUAUUAUGUAACUGCUACGGAUUUAGAAACAAAAGGUAUUUUCUCUUCUUCUGAAACCCAUAACUUUCAGUGCUUAGCAUUGUUUCUUUUAAAUCGUCCAUUUGUUUUACUCAUCAUAGAAAUGUACAUUAAAAUGGCGUGGAGUUGGUACUCUGGAACCCUGGCCUUCCUGAGACAAAAUCCACUUUUUCGUGUGCAAGAUAGUGAGCAAUUAUGUCUUUUUUUCUUUUCUUUUUUUUUCUAUAUAAAGGAAAAAUAUAUAUAAUCAACAUAAAACGUACAGGCUUCAGAUAAUCGAUGAAAUCAACAUUAACACACAACAAAGAAGGUUAAACAGAAGAAGACAACACUGUUCAAUCCCAGAGUUCUGAAAGUAGCACAAGAAAUAUUCAUUUAUUUGAAGUGUUGUUUUUUUUCUUUAAUGGAAGCAUUUGUCCUUUUUUUCCUUCUUUUUACAACAUUCCCAUUAUUUAAUUCCUUUGUGUUGCUGAUUUAUUUUUUCGAACUCCAGAAAUAAACAAAGUGUUUGUAAACUGUCAGUGGCCUUGCAGGAAAACAAACGACAACAUGAGUGAAUUGAACGUUGAAGUGAAAACAGAACAGAAAGCUAACAAACCAAAAAGGUAGGCACCUCUGAAGUCAGCCCUAGAAGCCAAGGCUCAGUCUGAUGUCUCUUUCAAUCCCUCCGUUGCUUAGAUUUGGGAGAGCUGAAGUCCUUCUGCCCAAAUCUAUGGCGACAGUUCUGCAAAAUACUUUUUUUUUUAUGCUGAAUUUUAUUUUAUACAUGUCAUUUUUUUAUUUCUUUUCUUUUCUUGCUUUCUUCUUUUUCUCAGGUUUAUAGUCCGAAAAAUGGUGCAAUACUCAAUUAUGAUCCAUACUUUCUUGGAUUAUUCGACAAUGAAAGCCACUAAGGUAGAUAAACAUUACAUUUUAAAAACACACUUAUUUUAGUCCUUGAGUAAACAUUUACACAUGAACUGUCCCCGUCUCCCCUCAGUACGUGUAUCAUGUUGUUCGUUUAGCUGGAUGAGGGAUGAGGCCGACACUCAGUGCAACGCUAGAGGCUAGUCACAAUUAACAUCAGAAUAUAUUUUUGACAAGCGAAAAGAAAAAAAAUCAAAAACAAAACGAUACUUAAUUGAAAAAGAACCACGAGGCGGAGUUUCCUCCGCUGUAAUCACGAGAUCUCAUACAUAUUUUCACCUCGUACACUAAACAUUCGUUCAUACAACAUACGGUACAAGCAGCCUUGUGCAAACACUCAAAUACAACAGACAUAAAUUUACCUUUAUAUCGACCUUUGUUUUCAACACUCGUUUUCCAAAUUUUAAUUCACUCCUAACUGAUGCUAUCAAAAAUCUCUGUUUAUGAAUGAGACAGAAAGUCACUACAAAAAAAGUGUUCACAUUACAUUAUUGGCGCUUCUUUUGAUUCAAGUAUUUGUUUUCAUUAUUUUGUAUUACUCUGAUAUGUUUAUGAUCUUGUCUUCUGGGGAACAUAACGCCGAGGAGGGUACACGGGGUAAGUGCCAAAGCCGGGGCAGGGGGGCAGAGAGGGGGGUUGUGGGGCUUAGGCCAAGCUAAGUGGAAAACAAAGAGAUCUAGCCAUAUACACACACACACACAUUAUGUAAUCUUGGUUGUAUAGAUGCAUGUUGUGUAUAUGAACUAGCAUGUGCAUAUUCAACCCAGGCCUUUUUUUUUUAUAAGAGUGAUUUGCUAAGUCCACUUUUUCGGGGCCUUUGACCCUCGUCUGAUCCAUGAUUGAGAAGCAUUUGCUUGAGGUCCAGUUACCUUUGAGUCCGUGUGACUUUCAAACAGGGGCAGCGUCUGAUUUCCAACCACAGACAGGCAGAUAAGAGAGCGGGACGCGGGACGUGGGACGCGGGACGCGGGAAGGGGCGGGCUCUCAGUGCUGGUGCGGCGCCAAAACAAAAACAAAAAAACCCCCCGGGCACUUCUGAGACUUGACCUCCGUCCCAGUGACCCGUCCUCCCACUCCACUCGACCCCCCCAGACGCCAGUUGCUUGGUUUAAGUCCAAUGUGGAGUUGAUGCAGGUUUUUUUUUUAGGAACAAACGAACACACAACACAGGCAAUAGUGAUGGUUUUGUUGAAUGAGUCUACAGUGACUCUGGAAGUUUUUAAGACUCAGUACCGAACUUAAGGUUUUGUCCCUAUUUCUGAUGAUACCUCGGACCCUGCCCCCCCCCCCACCCCCGAGCCAGAUGAGCAGAAAUGACCUGUCUUUGACCUUCAGGUCAGAGGUCCAAAACGAACCACCUGGAUGCAGCUUCCCAGACGGGGCAAGAAGGCGGGCGCUUUCAGGGACACGGGACACAGACGCCUCGGAGUGCACAGCUCGACGACCCUUUUCCUUUUCCUUUUUUGUAUUUUCUAGUUUUUGCAAAAAUCUUGAUGAUAAAGACAAAUACGUUUUUGGUUUUUUAAAGAGAUGUACCCGAUUUGACCCAUAAACAGUGCACAGACACCUACAGGGGGACCCUUCGCCACCGCCCUCCCCAGCCUGGUUCGCCACUACGGUUCAAGUCCACUGUCGGUGAAAGCCCAGCACCAUUCAUCUGUCCGGCCCUUCUACUCCCCUUGCCUCCCGCAGCUGGAAUAAUCUCGCUUAAGAUAAAUUAGGAUAUGGCAAAGUGGAAGUAAAUGUUUGUGGAUCACUCGGCAAAACACUGAAGAAGGGACUUGGUUUGCCAACGACUCGCGUCUGCAGCAGGUCAGUUAAGAGUCACGCAGCAGCUCCGUCCACACAGCGGGGGGCUAAACCCCCGAAGGGAACUGGUCCGCGGUCCGGCUGACAUUUGGUCAAGGGGGUUUGAAGGGAAGCUACCGGUUGGUGGGGGGGGGGGGGGGGGGGGUGGGGAAUGGGGGGGGGGGGGGGGGGGGGGGGUCUGCGAAUGAACACCUCCUCGUCUUUGCAUAGAAAUGGAAGGCUGUUAUCAGUUGGUUCUAAGUGUAACUGAGUGCUCCCAGAGUUAAACAUAAAGCACCAGUGUGAGUGUGGGGUGGGGGAGGGGGGGCGUCGCCCAGGAUGGACAGAAGAAGUUGGCCGACUAUCCUGGAGAACCUUUGACUACACAACCCUUUGCCACCUGAUUGGACGUGACUCUUUUAACCUGUCCGAGUAAAGAACUCCCCCCACUGACCCUGUCGACUGAGAUCUGCAGCGUUUCGUACCUCGUCACCACACACCGCUUGUGCCCGGGGGGGGGCAGUGGGAGGGGCAGGAGAGGGGCUGAACACUGCAUAAAAGACCAUUGUGAAAAAAAAAGCCAUGAAAACAAUCAUUAUCAUUAUAUCCUCAAUGAUAACAGCAACAAUGUCAGCAAACUUCAUGACAACAAUCAAAUAAAAAUCCACACUGGCGAUUCCAUAAGUGAAAGCAAGAAAAACAACUACGCAUUGAACGCCUCCAUUUCUGGGUAAAGUGAUCCUUGCAGGAGGGAGACAAGGGGGGGGGGGGGUGUUGCUGAGGACAGACUCUGGCGCAGCAGUAGUAGUAAAUGUAUUAUGAAAGAGCUGCUCUCGGCCUGGAGGCCAAAGUGUGUGGGG